rnacentral:tRNA from 1 species
CACCCCAUCGUCUAAAGGUUAGGACACCGGGUUUUCAUCCCGGCAAUAGGGGUUCAAUUCCCCUUGGGGUGA